UGGCAAUGUGUUUGUUUACAUACAGUCAAGCAUGAUCCCUAAGGCUGCUCAGGGAGAGAGAACCUAGAAACCUGGCAUGCUGGCAAAAGGGUAAGAAUUUCUUGCCAGUCAGUCUCUGGCCUCUUUCUUUCUGUGCAAACUGGUUACAUUAAAGAUAAAAAUCACUGUUUGUCUCCUCUGUAAAGUUUUGACUUAAUUUGUUUAAUAAUAAUAAGAGCUUAAAUCAAAUGUUUCAUCAGAAAUGUGAAAAACAUAAUGCAGACCAUCAAGCUUCAGAUGAUCAUGCAACAAAAGUCCCAGCUAGUUCCAGGUGAAGACAACACACCUGGCCUUCAAAAAGCUACUCUGCCUCCACUAGAGAGAACAGGGCGAGAGUUCCAUGAUCCCCAGUAGGUAAGGACUACACCCCAAGCCAGCAUGAAGCAGUUACAGAAAAAGACGACCAUUGAUCCCUCUGCUUCCUAUAAAGAUUUAUGGAUUUAUGGGGAUCACAUCUGUUGGCGGGAGGGUGGGAAAAGGGGCAGGAAAAUAGGGUCUGGAGGCAAGGAACAUAUAAGGCUGAUUUACACUUCAGCUAUGAGAGGAAAUAUCCUCUCCAUAGGACAUACACAGAGUAAAUAACUUUGUAACUUUACUUCAUCCUCUCCAUUUACAUAGGGCAUACCAGAAAUAACCAGUGGAAUCCUCUAGGGGGUAUUUAAACU
rnacentral:lncRNA from 1 species